rnacentral:rRNA from 1 species
AGCUAGUUGGCGGGGUAAAAGCCCACCAAGGCUAUGACGGGUAGCUGGUCUGAGAGGACGAUCAGCCACACUGGAACUGAGACACGGUCCAGACUCCUACGGGAGGCAGCAGUGAGGAAUUUUCCGCAAUGGGCGAAAGCCUGACGGAGCGACGCCGUGUGGGUGAUGAAGGCCUUCGGGUCUUAAAGCCCUGUCAGCGAUGAAGAUAUUGACGGUAAUCGCAGAGGAAGCCCCGGCUAACUACGUGCCAGCAGCCGCGGUAAUACGUAGGGGGCAAACGUUGUCCGGAAUUAUUGGGCGUAAAGCGCAUGUAGGCGGUCUUUUAAGUCGGAUGUCAAAUCCCCGGGCUCAACCCGGGUACGCGUUCGAUACUGAAGGGCUCGAGAAAUGUAGAGGAAAGCGGAACUUCCGGUGUAGCGGUGAAAUGCGUAGAUAUCGGAAGGAACACCAGUGGCGAAGGCGGCUUUCUGGACAUUUUCUGACGCUGAGAUGCGAAAGUUAAGGGAGCAAACGGGAUUAGAUACCCCGGUAGUCUUAACUGUAAACGAUGGUCACUAGGUGUAGGAGGUAUCGACCCCUUCUGUGCCGUAGCUAACGCGUUAAGUGACCCGCCUGGGGAGUACGGCCGCAAGGCUAAAACUCAAAAGAAUUGACGGGGGCCCGCACAAGCGGUGGAGCAUGUGGUUUAAUUCGAUCUACGCGAAGAACCUUACCUGGGCUUGAAAUGUUACCCGUAUACUGCCUGAAAGGGCGGUGGACCGUUAAAUCGGAUGGUAACACAGGUGCUGCAUGGCUGUCGUCAGCUCGUGUCGUGAGAUGUUGGGUUAAGUCCCGCAACGAGCGCAACCCCUAUCGUUAUUUACCCCGUUUUACGGGGGCCUAUAGCGAGACUGCCUGUGAUAAACAGGAGGAAGGCGGGGAUGAGGUCAAGUCAGCAUGGCCCUUAUGUCCAGGGCUACACACGUGCUACAAUGGCACCCACAAAGGGCAGCGAAACCGCGAGGUCUAGCAAAUCCCAAAAAAGGUGCCUCAAUUCGGAUUGCAGUCUGCAACUCGACUGCAUGAAGCUGGAAUCGCUAGUAACCGCAGAUGAGGUAUGCUGCGGUGAAUACGUUCUCGGGCCUUGUACACACCGCCCGUCACACCAUGAGAGUCAGAAACACCCAAAGUUGUCGAUUCAACCUUCGGGAGAUAGACACCUAAGGUGGUGCUGAUGAUUGGGGUGAAGUCGGAACAAUGUAGCCGUACCGGAAGGUGUGGCUG